GAUCUUAAGAAAAACACACUCUCAAGAUCCAAUCCUCCACCACCCUUAGAUUAGAGUUAAGCCAGCUUCGUUAAUAGAAGUUAACCAAAGGAUUCAUUAUGGAAGAAAACUUAAUGAGAUGAAAUAUUUUGAGAGGGUUAAAAACAAAUUUUAAUAUAUUUAAAGGGUCAAAAACAAAAUUAGGUUAAAUGUGCCGAGACAGAUUGUUGUAAACUGAGACUCAUCCCGUUACCACAAAACGGGAACCGAAUUCUGUCGUUCUCUCGCCACUACAUUCUGAGUCAAAGCUAGUCAAAAUACAGAGAUGGAACCCGAAUCAUGCAAUGCAGUACUUCCAAGACCUCAGGUUAAUGCCACAUUUCGCCUCGGUGCAGAAUCAUAUUCUGUUAAGGCAACCAAUGGCUCUUCGUUAUCAGAGCAACUAGUUAACCUGAAAGCGCAAAGCAUGGCAGUAUUGAAGGAUUUCAUAACAAAGCAUAAUGUUCCUCAAGAUGUUCCCGAUGAGUCGUUAGAAGCUUCUUCAGACGAUGAUGAUGAGGAUGCUAAGAAGCCUCAAGUAAAGUCUAAGAAAACUAAGUUUACUUAGCUUCUGAAAUAUGUUUUAAAUGUCUGAGUGAUUUUAUCUUUGUACUGUAUGAUUCUGCAAUUAGUUUUUAAUUAGUUUAUUGGAUAUUGUUUAGUGAAUGAUAACACAUUACAUAACAUAACAUCUCCUUUUUUGUAAUAUGAUUGUGCCUUCAUCUA